rnacentral:sRNA from 1 species
CCCUAGCCCCGAUAGCAGCGGCAUCCUUUUUGUUUUUUCUUUAAAAACAAAAAGAUAUAGCGGAUAGCGGGAAAUAGC